GAUGAAGAACGUAGUGAAAUGCGAUAAGUAAUGCGAAUUGCAGAAUCCGUGAGUCUUCGAAUCUUUGAACGCACAUUGCGCCCUCUGGUAUUCCGGAGGGCAUGCCUGUUCGAGCGUCAUUAUCACCCCUCAAGCCCGGCUUGUUGUUGGAUGCAGCGCUUAUCCCGCUCCUCCCAAAGAUAAUGACGGCGUCUGCGACGACUCCUGUACACUGAGCUUUCGGGCACGUACACGGCUAGAAGUCCAGACCCGGUCGCCGUCCCCCCCGCGGGGACACCCAUUACCACAAGGUUGACCUCGGAUCAGGUAGGAAUACCCGCUGAACUUAAGCAUAUCAAUAAGCGGAGGA
rnacentral:misc_RNA from 1 species